GAUGAACGCUGGCGGCGUGCCUAAUACAUGCAAGUCGAGCGAACAGACGAGGAGCUUGCUCCUCUGACGUUAGCGGCGGACGGGUGAGUAACACGUGGGUAACCUACCUAUAAGACUGGGAUAACUUCGGGAAACCGGAGCUAAUACCGGAUAAUAUUUUGAACCGCAUGGUUCGAUAGUGAAAGAUGGUUUUGCUAUCACUUAUAGAUGGAUCUGCGCCGUAUUAGCUAGUUGGUAAGGUAACGGCUUACCAAGGCAACGAUACGUAGCCGACCUGAGAGGGUGAUCGGCCACACUGGAACUGAGACACGGUCCAGACUCCUACGGGAGGCAGCAGUAGGGAAUCUUCCGCAAAGGGCGAAAGCCUGACGGAGCAACGCCGCGUGAGUGAUGAAGGUCUUCGGAUCGUAAAACUCUGUUAUUAGGGAAGAACAAACGUGUAAGUAACUGUGCACGUCUUGACGGUACCUAAUCAGAAAGCCACGGCUAACUACGUG
rnacentral:rRNA from 1 species